GUGCAGUGGUUGGGGUGGGUAGGGGAGCGUCGUACAGCCAGGGAAGCAGCGGUGUGAACCAGUUGUGGAGGCUGUGCGAGUGAGAAUGCAGGCAUGAGUAGCGAAAGACGAGUGAGAAACUCGUCCGCCGAAUGACCAAGGGUUCCUGGGCCAGGUUAAUCCGCCCAGGGUGAGUCGGGACCUAAGGCGAGGCCGACAGGCGUAGUCGAUGGACAACGGGUUGAUAUUCCCGUACCCGUGUAUCCGCGCCCAUGCUGAAUCAGUUGUGCUAAGUGCCCAAAUCCCCCGGGAAGACCUUCGGGUCUCGAGUGGGGUGCUGCGCAUGACCCCGGCUGGUAGUAGGCAAGCGAUGGGGUGACGCAGGAAGGUAGCUGGGCCAGUCAGUGGUUGUACUGGUGUAAGCCUGUAGGGAGUCUGAUAGGCAAAUCCGUCAGACAUGUAUCCUGAGAGGUGAUGCGUAGCCGAUUGAGGCGAAUUCAGUGAUCCUAUGCUGCCGAGAAAAGCCUCUAGUGAGUUGGUACACGGCCCGUACCCCAAACCGACACAGGUGGUCAGGUAGAGAAUACUGAGGCGAUCGAGAGAACUGUGGUUAAGGAACUCGGCAAAAUGCCCCCGUAACUUCGGGAGAAGGGGGACCACGCCUGGUGACCGGAUUUACUCCGUGAGCUGGGGGUGGUCGCAGAGACCAGAGAGAAGCGACUGUUUACUAAAAACACAGGUCCGUGCGAAGUCGUAAGACGAUGUAUACGGACUGACGCCUGCCCGGUGCCGGAAGGUUAAGAGGACCGGUUAGCGACCUUCGGGUUGCGAAGCUGAGAAUUUAAGCCCCGGUAAACGGCGGUGGUAACUAUAACCAUCCUAAGGUAGCGAAAUUCCUUGUCGGGUAAGUUCCGACCUGCACGAAUGGCGUAACGACUUCUCUGCUGUCUCAACCACAGACUCGGCGAAAUUGCAUUACGAGUAAAGAUGCUCGUUACGCGCGGCAGGACGAAAAGACCCCGGGACCUUCACUAUAGCUUGGUAUUGGUGUUCGGUACGGUUUGUGUAGGAUAGGUGGGAGACUGUGAAGCGGGCACGCCAGUGUUCGUGGAGUCGUCGUUGAAAUACCACUCUGAUCGUAUUGGACCUCUAACCUCGGACCAUGAUCUGGUUCAGGGACAGUGCCUGGUGGGUAGUUUAACUGGGGCGGUUGCCUCCCAAAAUGUAACGGAGGCGCCCAAAGGUUCCCUCAGCCUGGUUGGCAAUCAGGUGUCGAGUGCAAGUGCACAAGGGAGCUUGACUGUGAGACAGACAUGUCGAGCAGGGACGAAAGUCGGGACUAGUGAUCCGGCACCGGCAUGUGGAAGCGGUGUCGCUCAACGGAUAAAAGGUACCCCGGGGAUAACAGGCUGAUCUUCCCCAAGAGUCCAUAUCGACGGGAUGGUUUGGCACCUCGAUGUCGGCUCGUCGCAUCCUGGGGCUGGAGUAGGUCCCAAGGGUUGGGCUGUUCGCCCAUUAAAGCGGCACGCGAGCUGGGUUUAGAACGUCGUGAGACAGUUCGGUCUCUAUCCGCCGCGCGCGUCAGAAACUUGAGGAAGGCUGUCCCUAGUACGAGAGGACCGGGACGGACGAACCUCUGGUGUGCCAGUUGUCCUGCCAAGGGCACUGCUGGUUGGCUACGUUCGGAAGGGAUAACCGCUGAAAGCAUCUAAGCGGGAAGCCUGUUCCAAGAUGAGGUUUCUCACCCACUCGAUGGGUUAAGGCCCCCUACAGACCAUGGGGUUGAUAGGCCAGAACUGGAAGCCCGGUAACGGGUGGAGGUGACUGGUACUAAUAGGCCGAGGACUUACCAAC
rnacentral:rRNA from 1 species